rnacentral:pre_miRNA from 1 species
CUGGCUUCGGUGCUGGGGAGCGGCCCCCGGGCGGGCCUCUGCUCCGGCCCCUCCUGGGGCCCGCACUCGCGCUCCGGGCCCG